rnacentral:rRNA from 1 species
UACGUAGGGUGCAAGCGUUAAUCGGAAUUAAUGGGAGUAAAGUGUGCGUAGGCGGUUAUGGAAGAGAGAUGUGAAAUCCCCGGGCUCAACCUGGGAACUGCAUUUGUGACUGCAUGGCUAGAGUACGGUAGAGGGGGAUGGAAUUCCGCGUGUAGCAGUGAAAUGCGUAGAUAUGCGGAGGAACACCGAUGGCGAAGGCAAUCCCCUGGACCUGUACUGACGCUCAUGCACGAAAGCGUGGGGAGCAAACAGG